rnacentral:rRNA from 1 species
GGCGGCGGCCUAAACACUGCAAGCUCGAGCGGUAACAGGGGUAGCUCGCUACCCGCYGACGAGCGGCGGACGGGUGAGUAACGCAUAGGAAUCUUACCCGGUAGUGGGGGAUAACCUGGGGAAACCCAGGCUAAUACCGCAUACGUCCUACGGGAGAAAGGGGGCUUUGGCUCCCGCUAUCGGAUGAGCCUAUGCCGGAUUAGCUGGUUGGUGAGGUAAUGGCUCACCAAGGCGACGAUCCGUAGCUGGUCUGAGAGGAUGAUCAGCCACAUCGGGACUGAGACACGGCCCGAACUCCUACGGGAGGCAGCAGUGGGGAAUAUUGGACAAUGGGGGCAACCCUGAUCCAGCCAUGCCGCGUGUGUGAAGAAGGCCCUCGGGUUGUAAAGCACUUUCAGCGAGGAAGAACGCCURUCGGUUAAUACCCGGUAGGAAAGACAUCACUCGCAGAAGAAGCACCGGCUAACUCCGUGCCAGCAGCCGCGGUAAUACGGAGGGUGCAAGCGUUAAUCGGAAUUACUGGGCGUAAAGCGCGCGUAGGUGGCUUGAUAAGCCGGUUGUGAAAGCCCCGGGCUCAACCUGGGAACGGCAUCCGGAACUAUCAGGCUAGAGUGC